rnacentral:rRNA from 1 species
UACGAAGGGGGCUAGCGUUGCUCGGAAUCACUGGGCGUAAAGGGUGCGUAGGCGGGUCUUUAAGUCAGGGGUGAAAUCCUGGAGCUCAACUCCGGAACUGCCUUUGAUACUGAAGAUCUUGAGUUCGGGAGAGGUGAGUGGAACUGCGAGUGUAGAGGUGAAAUGCGUAGAGAUCGGGAGGAACACCAGAGGCGAAGGCGGCGACCUGGACAGUAACUGACGCUAAACUACGAAAGCGUGGGGAGCAAACAGG